UAGUCCUAGCCGUAAACGGUGCGCAUUUGCUGUAGGUGGAUUCGACCCCAUCUGUGGCGAAGCUAACGCGUUAAAUGCGCCGCCUGGGGAGUACGGUCGCAAGGCUAAAACUCAAAGAAAUUGACGGGGGCCUGCACAAGCGGUGGAGUAUGUGGCUUAAUUCGAUGCAACGCGAAGAACCUUACCUGGGCUUGACAUGUAGGUGGUAUUGAACUGAAAGGGGAUAGACCUAGCAAUAGGAGCCUACACAGGUGCUGCAUGGCUGUCGUCAGCUCGUGUCGUGAGAUGUUGGUUUAAGUACCGCAACGAGCGCAACCCUCAUGUUCUGUUGCCACUCCCGCUAGCGCGGGAAGCACUCUGAACAGACUGCCUCAUUUAAAUGAGGAGGAAGGUGGGGAUGACGUCAAGUCAGUAUGGCCCUUACGUCCAGGGCUGCACACGUACUACAAUGCCCGGUACAAAGGGAAGCCAAACCGCAAGGUGGAGCAAAUCUCAGAAAACCGGG
rnacentral:rRNA from 1 species